rnacentral:rRNA from 1 species
GAACCGUCCAAACGUUAUUCGGAAUCACUGGGCUUAAAGGGUGCGUAGGCGGCUUGGCAAGUUGGGUUGUGAAAGCCCUCGGCUCAACCGAGGAAUUGCGCCCAAAACUGCCUUGGAUAGAGUGAGAUAGAGGUGAGCGGAACUUAUGGUGGAGCGGUGAAAUGCGUUGAUAUCAUAAGGAACGCCAGUGGCGAAAGCGGCUCACUGGAUCUCUACUGACGCUGAGGCACGAAAGCUAGGGGUAGCGAACAGGAUUAGAUACCCUGGUAGUCCUAGCUGUAAACGAUGAGCACUGGGUUGGAGGCUCCUCCAUAGGCUUCCGGCCGAAGCGAAAGUGUUAAGUGCUCCGCCUGGGAGUAUGGUCGCAAGGCUG